rnacentral:rRNA from 1 species
UACGGAGGGUGCAAGCGUUGUCCGGAUUUAUUGGGUUUAAAGGGUGCGUAGGCGGCUGACUAAGUCAGUGGUGAAAGGCAGCAGCUCAACUGUUAGCAUUGCCAUUGAUACUGGUCAGCUUGAGUGCAGUCGAGGUAGGCGGAAUUGAAGGUGUAGCGGUGAAAUGCAUAGAUAUCUUCAAGAACACCUAUUGCGAAGGCAGCUUACUAGGCUGUAACUGACGCUGAUGCACGAAAGCGUGGGGAUCGAACAGG